rnacentral:rRNA from 1 species
UACAGAGGUCUCAAGCGGUGUUCGGAUUCAUUGGGCGUAAAGGGGGCGUAGGCGGCGCGGUAAGUCGGGUGUGAAAUCUCGGAGCUUAACUCCGAAACUGCAUUCGAUACUGCCGUGCUUGAGGACUGGAGAGGAGACUGGAAUUUACGGUGUAGCGGUGAAAUGCGUAGAUAUCGUAAGGAAGACCAGUGGCGAAGGCGGGUCUCUGGACAGUUCCUGACGCUGAGGCACGAAGGUCAGGGGAGCAAACGGG